ACAUCAUGUUGAAACACUUGUUUCUAUAUGAUUACCAAAGUUAAGCAAUGUUGAGCCUGGUCAGUACUUAAAUGGUUGACCACUUGGGAAUACCAGAUGCUAUA